rnacentral:rRNA from 1 species
UACGUAGGGUGCAAGCGUUGUCCGGAAUUAUUGGGCGUAAAGAGCUCGUAGGCGGUCUGUCGCGUCGGCUGUGAAAACUCGAGGCUCAACCUCGAGACGCCGGUGGAAACCAUCAGACUAGAGUCCGGAAGAGGAGAGUGGAAUUCCUGGUGUAGCGGUGAAAUGCGCAGAUAUCAGGAGGAACACCGGUGGCGAAGGCGGUUCUCUGGGCCUUACCUGACGCUGAGGAGCGAAAGCGUGGGGAGCAAACAGG